AAAAAUGUUUGACACGUCUCAAUUCCACCAAUUAUGUAACCUCAUUAACCAACAUAAAACUUUAAGCAAUCACCCAAAUCGGUACUAAUGAACCAUCUAAAGUAAUUAAUCUAAAAUUCAGAAAAUAACAAUAAAACAAUGCUAAUAAUUACCCAAUUCCACACCUAACAAUUGAGCAAACAAAUCCUCUAAUGAAAAUGUUUUGGAUAACUGAAGAAAGAAAAAAAUAAGGCACAAAGGAAAAAGAACAAAAA
rnacentral:lncRNA from 1 species